rnacentral:lncRNA from 7 species
AGUGUGCCUUCGGCCUCGUGUUGAGCUUUGUGCUUAGGAACGGGGAAACCUCGCUCAGAUGCUCAAUGCCGUCCUUCUCCCUUGCCCCUGAACUACAGCUCAGAGCUAACAAAACUGUAUUCCUGGAUGAAAUUUUAACAGAUCCCCAGCAUAAAGUUUCAGCUCGGGGCAAUGUGGAGGUGCCGCAGAUAAACAAGAAGAACAAUUCUGCGUAUUGAACUCUCAAACGAAAGUUUACUUUCCCUCUUCUCCCUGUCUACCUGUGCUCUGAGGCAACAAACACUGCUUCAGUGGCAAGAAAAAGGAGCAGAACAGAACUGAACAUUUCCGUGCUUUCAGAAGGAAGAAAAAAAGUCAGGAGUUUAUCUUUCAAGGAUGACUGCUCUUCAAGUACACCAGGUGGGAUCCAAUCAUGCGCUGCAUCUGAAGUGCACUUGAGAUAAAUUCAGGAUAGGUUCAUGCUUGGCCUCAGCUCUCACCAGAUCUGAAAAAUUCCAGAAGAAAUGAUACCAACAAGAUAAAAGGAGGAAAAAAAACAAAAAUACAAAAAUACUUUGUAUUUUCCUGUCCACCUUAAAACUAAGUUUUACUUCUGUCUGUGAUAUCCCUUUCUUAUGGAAUCACAAAUGUGGAGAAAAAGAAGCUUAAUCUAUCCUUUGGUAUCCUGAUCUGUUGGAACCCCCCUAAAACGUAUGAGGACAGAUUGGAGUGAAAAGGAAGCUGUAUCUUAUUGGUGCUAAACUAGCAUAACAUUCCCGAAUGGUUUUUUUCGCAACUAAAAUGCAGUGGAGGAUGUGGAGUCCAAUCUAGAGGACAAAAUUCACCCCCAUUGGCAAGCUGGUGAAUGCCAAAACUCUCUGCUCUCUUGAGGCACCGCCUGCGUCAGGAGGAGUAUCUGUAGGCAAUUCAUACUGGCUUCUAGAUGUUCCUAAGCAGUCACAGACUUUGCUGGCUACCAAAGAACAAGUGAUGGUGGUGAGACUGGAGCUGAAGACUCCAACCUCAACUCUGAGCAAAAAGCUUGGAAAAAAAACCAUUGUUUGAGACAGAGAAGAUUGAAAGAAAACCAUUGCAAAUCAUUUGUAUGAACUGAUAAAAGCAGGGAAGGAAGAGAAAGAGCUUUGGAGAGGAGACGUGGAGGAAGAGGACACAAGUCUGUUCCAGGACACAUCCAUCUGGUUCAGCCAUCAGAAGAUCCGUUUGCUGUUCAGUGACAACUUUGAAAGGAAGUCUAUACUUGACUCUCCUCUCCUCUGCCUGCUCCAGACUGAAGGUAAAAUGACUGCAUGUCUGAAGACAGCAGAUGUCUCAGAGAUGUAAAUGUUCAGCACUCCUGAAUCAAAGCCACAGCAUAACUGAAUACACUACUGU